UGGGUAAUCUACCUCAAAGUUGGGGAUAACCCGGCGAAAGCUGGGCUAACACCGAAUGUGGUCGGCCCCCGAUGGGGGAUGGACUAAAGGCGGGGAUCUUUCGGGACCUGCCGCUUGAGAGGAGCCCGCGUGCCAUCAGCUUGUUGGUGGGGUAAUGGCCUACCAAGGCUUACGGCUAGCUGGUCUGAGAGGACGACCAGCCGCACUGGGACUGAGACACUGCCCAGACUCCUACGGGAGGCUGCAGUCGAGGAUCUUGGACAAUGGGGGAAACCCUGAUCCAGCGACGCUGCGUGGAGGAUGAAGGCCUUCGGGUUGUAAACUCCUGUCAUUCGGGAAAAACGACCCCACGGAUAAUACCCGUGGGGAGUGAUGGUACCGGAAGAGGAAGCCACGGCUAACUCUGUGCCAGCAGCCGCGGUAAUACAGAGGUGGCAAGCGUUGUUCGGAUUUACUGGGCGUAAAGGGUGCGUAGGUGGUUGCUUAUGUCGGGCGUGAAAGCCCACGGCUCAACCGUGGAAGUGCGUCCGAAACUGGGCGACUGGAGUGCAGGAUGGGAGAGCGGAAUUCUUGGUGUAGCGGUGAAAUGCGUUGAUAUCAAGAAGAACACCGGUGGCGAAGGCGGCUCUCUGGAAUGCAACUGACACUGAGGCACGAAAGAUGGGGGAGCAAACAGGAUUAGAUACCCUGGUAGUCC
rnacentral:rRNA from 1 species